GCUAGUUGUACGAGUUGAGACUCGUAGCAUAUAGCUCAGUAACACGUGGCCAAACUACCCUAUAGAUCCAGACAACCUCGGGAAACUGAGGCUAAUCCGGAAUAGGGCUCUCAUCCUGGAGUGGAGAGAGCCUGAAACGCUCCGGCGCUAUAGGAUGUGGCUGCGGCCGAUUAGGUAGACGGUGGGGUAACGGCCCACCGUGCCAGUAAUCGGUACGGGUUGUGAGAGCAAGAGCCCGGAGACGGUAUCUGAAACAAGAUACCGGGCCCUACGGGGCGCAGCAGGCGCGAAACCUUUACACUGCACGCCAGUGCGAUAAGGGGACUCCAAGUGCGAGGGCAUAUAGUCCUCGCUUUUUGCGACCGUAAGGUGGUCGCGGAAUAAGUGCUGGGCAAGACCGGUGCCAGCCGCCGCGGUAAUACCGGCAGCACAAGUGAUGACCGCUGUUAUUGGGCCUAAAGCGUCCGUAGCUGGCCGCACAAGUCUAUCGGGAAAUCUCUCCGCUUAACGGAGAGGCGUCCGGUGGAAACUGUGUGGCUUGGGACCGGAAGACCANAGGGGUACGUCUGGGGUAGGAGUGAAAUCCCGUAAUCCUGGACGGACCACCGGUGGCGAAAGCGCUUNUGGAAGACGGNAUCCGACGGUGAGGGACGAAAGCUCGGGUCACGAACCGGNAUUAGAUACCCGGGUAGUCCGAGCUGUAAACGAUGUCUGCUAGGUGUGACACAGGCUACGAGCCUGUGUUGUGCCGUAGGGAAGCCGUGAAGCAGACCGCCUGGGAAGUACGUCCGCAAGGAUGAAACUUAAAGGAAUUGGCGGGGGAGCACUACAACCGGAGGAGCCUGCGGUUUAAUUGGACUCAACGCCGGACAUCUCACCAGCAUCGACAAUGUGCAGUGACGGUCAGUAUGAUGAGCUUACCUGAGCCAUUGAGAGGAGGUGCAUGGCCGCCGUCAGCUCGUACCGUGAGGCGUCCUGUUAAGUCAGGCAACGAGCGAGACCCGCACCCUUAAUUGCCAGCAGCACCCUUGUGGUGGCUGGGUACAUUAAGAGGACUGCCAGUGCCAAACUGGAGGAAGGAACGGGCAACGGUAGGUCAGUAUGCCCCGAAUGUGCUGGGUGACACGCGGGCUACAAUGGCCAAGACAGUGGGAUGCAACGCCGAAAGGCGACGNUAAUUUCCGAAACUUGGUCGUAGUUCGGAUUGAGGGCUGAAACUCGCCCUCAUGAAGCUGGAUUCGGUAGUAAUCGCGCCUCAGAAGGGCGCGGUGAAUACGUCCCUGCUCCUUGCACACACCGCCCGUCAAAGCACCCGAGUGGGGUCCGGAUGAGCCC
rnacentral:rRNA from 1 species